rnacentral:rRNA from 1 species
AACGCGAAGAACCUUACCAACUCUUGACAUCCCAUUGACCGCUUGAGAGAUCAAGUUUUCCCUUCGGGGACAAUGGUGACAGGUGGUGCAUGGUUGUCGUCAGCUCGUGUCGUGAGAUGUUGGGUUAAGUCCCGCAACGAGCGCAACCCCUAUCCUUAGUUGCCAGCAUUCAGUUGGGCACUCUAGGGAGACUGCCGGUGACAAACCGGAGGAAGGUGGGGAUGACGUCAAAUCAUCAUGCCCCUUAUGAGUUGGGCUACACACGUGCUACAAUGGACGGUACAAAGGGCAGCGAGACCGCGAGGUGGAGCCAAUCCCAUAAAGCCGUUCCCAGUUCGGAUUGCAGGCUGCAACUCGCCUGCAUGAAGUCGGAAUCGCUAGUAAUCGCAGGUCAGCAUACUGCGGUGAAUACGUUCCCGGGCCUUGUACACACCGUAGUAC